rnacentral:rRNA from 1 species
GUCGAACGAGAAGGUGUAGCGAUACACUUGUACAGUGGCGAACGGGUGAGGAAUACAUGGGUAACCUACCCUCGAGUGGGGAAUAACCAGCCGAAAGGUUGGCUAAUACCGCGUACGCUUCCGGGUCUGCGGAUCCGGAAGGAAAGUCGCACCGUGGGUGCGACGCUCAAGGAUGGGCUCAUGCCCUAUCAGCUUGUUGGUGAGGUAACGGCUCACCAAGGCUUCGACGGGUAGCUGGUCUGAGAGGACGAUCAGCCACACUGGCACUGCGACACGGGCCAGACUCCUACGGGAGGCAGCAGUAAGGAAUAUUGCGCAAUGGGCGAAAGCCUGACGCAGCGACGCCGCGUGGGGGAUGAAGGUCUUCGGAUUGUAAACCCCUUUUGGGAGGGAAAAUGGGACGGGCAACCGUCCGGAUGGUACCUCCAGAAAAAGCCACGGCUAACUUCGUGCCAGCAGCCGCGGUAAUACGAAGGUGGCAAGCGUUGUUCGGAUUUACUGGGCGUACAGGGAGCGUAGGCGGUUUGGUAAGCCCUCCGUGAAAUCUUCGGGCUCAACCCGGAAAGUUCAGAGGGGACUGCCAGGCUAGAGGACGGGAGAGGAGCGCGGAAUUCCCGGUGUA